CAGAGAGUGAGAAGCAGGGAUGCAAGAAGACAAUUGUAAAACUAGGCUACAAUCUACUUGCCCAUUUACCUUUGGAAGCUUCCAUGUUCUGGAUCAUGAAUGCUAUCAACAUCCACAGGUGGACAUUCACUUCCAAGUCAUUUGAGUAAACACAAAAGAAUGAUUGUUGUAAAGCGGGGCUGUGUUUAGUUUUUCUGGAAGCUGCCAAAUUGUUUCCAUUUACAGUUACAGCAUUUUUAAGUGCCCCCACAAUGGACAAAAAUUGCUGCUCUUGUUUCUAGUAUUGAGAGCUGGGUUUUGUAUAUGGCCAUUCUGAUAGAAGUUUGAUAGGAUUGUAGUGUUGAUUAGAUUUGCAUUUCCUUAGUGACAAAUCACAUAGAAUAUUUCUUCUUGUGCUUAUGUUCCAUCUGAAUAUCCUCUUGGGCGAACUGUUAAGGUCUUGGCCUUCAUUUUAAUUGAGUUCUUUGUUUUCUUAUUCUUGACUUUUAAGAGUUCGUGGGGGAGUCAUGUCAAUAAGAUACAUGUGUAUAGUGGCCACCUCCUCCCACAAGAACAGCCAAGCAAAGAACCAACUGUCACAUUCGGACAAAACAACUAAAGGACAGUACCCAUGAACAUCAGAGGACUGGAACCACCUUGGACUCUUACAGGCUUGUCAAUAAGGGAACCUCUGUAGCCCUCAUAGGCAGUUGGCCCAGCAGAGAAAGCUGCCUGGGAUCUAACAGAUCCACUGUCUCCAAAGGAGGAGUUGGUGGUGUGCCCUGCAUCCCAUGGACAGUGUGGUUACAAUUCGGUGGCACCUUGGAACCAGAGCCCUAUUCUGGAGAUAGGAACGAUGGCAUACCUCCACCUCUGAGAAUUCAUCACUAUAGAAACAACCCCACCUGGUGGCCACCAUUCCUGCCACCAAACCACUACUUCACCAUAUUGCUUGUUGCUAAACUGCAUAGUCACUGCACUCCCAGCUGCUGUCACUCUUCGCCUGCCUUAGAUACAGUGGUGCCGAGCACCAAAAGUCUCCAACUGUAAAAUGGACUAACUCGAUUCUGUGUAAUUCUGCCGAAGUUCCUUCAUCUAGUUGAAUGCCCUACUGCUAAGCAACUAUAGAUACACAACUGACCACUGGGCAGAGCUCCUGAAAUCCAGUCCAAGAGAGGGAGGAGUGAUAACAGGAGCAAAGAGGUCAAGACCAUGUUGGGGAAAUCCACAGAAACAGCUGACCUGAGCUGGUGGGAGUUCAAUGACUCUGGACUGACAGCUGGGGAACCUGCAGAGGCUGACUUACUCUUGAAUACUGUGGUGGUUUAAAAGAAAAUGUCCCCCAAAGGAAGUGGCACUAAUGGGAGGUGUGGCCUUGUUGUAGUAGGUGUGGCCUUACUGGAGGAAGUGCAUCACUGUGGGUGCUGGCUUUGAGUUCUAUGCUCAAGCCAUGCCCAAUGAUACAGUUCACUUCCUGUUGCCUGUAUAUCAAUAUGUAGAAGUCUCAGCUCCCUCUCCAGCACUGUGUCUGCCUGCAUGCCGCCAUGCCAUGCCAUGAUGAUAAUGGACAAAACCUCUGAAACUGAGGAGAGGCGACCUGAAGGCAAGAUUCCGUUCUUCACUGUGUAGGCAAAGGAUGCCGGAGUAAUGAAUGAACAAGCAUACAGAGCUGGUUUUCUUCUAAUUUUUGUUAUGGAUAUGCAAAUUCAAUUUUGUGUGUAUUAAAGUAGCAAGAAUCAUUUUUGCAUCGCCAAAGAAGCCAU
ensembl:lncRNA